rnacentral:rRNA from 1 species
GGAGCAAUCCAUGAGUACAGUGGCGUACGGGUGAGUAACACGUGGGUAAUCUACCUUUUGGUGGGGAAUAACCCUGGGAAACCGGGGCUAAUACCGCAUAAAUCCGCAAGGAAAAAGUCGCAAGACGCCGAUAGAGGAGCCCGCGGCCGAUUAGCUAGUUGGCAGGGUAAAGGCCUACCAAGGCUAUGAUCGGUAGCCGGCCUGAGAGGGCACACGGCCACACUGGCACUGAAACACGGGCCAGACUCCUACGGGAGGCAGCAGUGGGGAAUCUUGCACAAUGGGGGCAACCCUGAUGCAGCGACGCCGCGUGAGUGAUGAAGCCCUUCGGGGUGUAAAGCUCUUUCGACAGGAACGAUAAUGACGGUACCUGGAGAAGAAGCUGCGGCUAACUACGUGCCAGCAGCCGCGGUAAUACGUAGGCAGCAAACGUUGUUCGGAAUUACUGGGCGUAAAGAGUGUGUAGGCGGUUUUGUAAGUUUGGUGUGAAAUCUCCCGGCUUAACUGGGAGGGUGCGCCGAAAACUGCAAGGCUUGAGUGCUGGAGAGGAGAGCGGAAUUCCUGGUGUAGCGGUGAAAUGCGUAGAUAUCAGGAGGAACACCGGCGGUGUAGACGGCUCUCUGGACAGUAACUGACGCUGAGACACGAAAGCGUGGGGAGCAAACAGGAUUAGAUACCCUGGUAGUCCACGCCCUAAACGAUGCAUACUUGGUGUGAGCCAUUCAUUUGGUUCGUGCCGGAGCUAACGCGUU